UACAGAGGGUGCGAGCGUUGUUCGGAAUUAUUGGGCGUAAAGGGCGCGUAGGCGGUGCGGUAAGUCACCUGUGAAAUCUCCUGGCUCAACUGGGAGCUUGCAGGCGAAACUGCCGUGCUGGAGUGUGGGAGAGGUGAGUGGAAUUCCCGGUGUAGCGGUGAAAUGCGUAGAUAUCAGGAGGAACACCGGUGGUGUAGACGGCUCUCUGGACCGUAACUGACGCUGAGACACGAAAGCGUGGGUAGCAAACAGG
rnacentral:rRNA from 1 species